CAGCCCAUUUGCCCUCGCACCGCACCCCCUCCAGACCACCAAUGUCCGCCUACCACAGCAGCAACCCUGUCGAGGCCCGCCGCGCCGAGUGCGCGCGCCUGCAGGCCAAGUACCCCGGCCACGUCGCCGUGGUUGUCGAGGCGGCCGAAAAGGCCGGCAGCAAGGCGCACUUCCUCGCGCUGCCGCGCGACGCCACCGUCGCCGAGCUCGAGGCGGCCGUGCGCCAGGCGCUCAGCACCAGCGUCAAGAAGGUGACGCUCGCCAUCGAGGGCUCCGCCCCGGCGGUGACCGCCGCGGUCGGCGACAUCGCCGACGCCUGCAAGCGGGACGACGGCUUCCUGUACGUGAGCGUGCGCACCGAGCAGGCCAUGGGCGGCAUCGCCGGUCUCUGCUUCGCCAGCGACUCCGGCGGUAUGUAACCAGCGCGGCCUUCGCGCUUCCCAUCCUCUCUGUUCGUCCUCCCCUCACCCCUCCCCUCUCCUCCCAGUGACUUUGUCCUGCUUGGAAAAUCGCAGCGUCGCUGCCGUCUUCAUGUGUGAUGUUUUCUCGACUUAUCUCAUUUCGCGUGCAUGCGCGUGUGGCGCCUCCCUCAGCCCAUACGCGAGCUGGUUCCUGGGCCGCAGUGUCUACGCAGGCACUCCACACACGCACGCGCGCACCCCUGCCCCGCCGCGGCGUGAAACUUGUGUGCCACCCAUGUGAACACGCCCUCUCUCUCUUUCCGUUCGUCAUCUUCUUGUGCUGCGGGGGUCGUGCUGUCGCUGCGCAGGCAGCCGGCAGCGCACACCGCCCUCCCUCCAUGUGUACAGCCCACUCGCAGUCCUAGCUGCCCCUCCCU
rnacentral:misc_RNA from 1 species